rnacentral:rRNA from 1 species
CUGUACAGGGGGAUAACAGUCAGAAAUGACUGCUAAUACCGCAUAAGACCACAGCACCGCAUGGUGCAGGGGUAAAAACUCCGGUGGUACAGGAUGGACCCGCGUCUGAUUAGCUGGUUGGUGAGGUAACGGCUCACCAAGGCGACGAUCAGUAGCCGGCUUGAGAGAGUGAACGGCCACAUUGGGACUGAGACACGGCCCAAACUCCUACGGGAGGCAGCAUG